AAUCGACGACAUCAGCUGCUCCAUAAGUUCCCACACGAAUUGCUUGAUUCAUUGAAGAAGACGAUAAGAAGCAGCCCGAAAUUGGGUCUGUAGCUCAGUUGGUUAGAGCGCACCCCUGAUAAGGGUGAGGUCGGCAGUUCGAAUCUGCCCAGACCCACCAAUUUUGUGUGGGAAACGCCUGUAGAAAUACGGGGCCAUAGCUCAGCUGGGAGAGCGCCUGCCUUGCACGCAGGAGGUCAACGGUUCGAUCCCGUUUGGCUCCACCACUACUGCUUCUGAAAGUUUUGAAAGCUUAGAAAUGAGCAUUCCACCAAAACGGUGAUGAAUGUUGAUUUCUAGUCUUUGAUUAGAUCGUUCUUUAAAAAUUUGGGUAUGUGAUAGAAAGAUAGACUGAACGUUACUUUCACUGGUAACGGAUCAGGCUAAGGUAAAAUUUGUGAGUUACUCGUAAUUGAGUAUUAUCGAAUUUUCGGCGAAUGUCGUCUUCACAGUAUAACCAGAUUGCUUGGGGUUAUAU
rnacentral:tRNA from 1 species